UGGGGGAUAUUGCACAAUGGGCGAAAGCCUGAUGCAGCGACGCCACGUGGGGGAUGAAGGCCUUCGGGUUGUAAACUUCUUUUGCUCUGAACAAGGCGCACCAUGGGGUGUGUUGAGUGUAGGGGUUGAUUAGCGCCGUCUAACUACGUGCCAGCAGCCGCGGUACUACGUAGGGCGCGAGCGUUGUCCGGAAUUAUUGGGCGUAAAGGGCUUGUAGGUGGCUGGUUGCGUCUGUCGUGAAGGCUCAUGGCUUAACUGUGGGUUAGCGGUGGGUACGGGCAGGCUGGAGUGCAGUAGGGGAGGCUGGAAUUCCUGGGGUAGCGGUGGAAUGCGCAGAUAUAAGGAGAAAUACCGGGGGAGAAGGAGGGUCUCUGGGAUGUUACUGACACUGAGGAGCGAAAGCAUGGGGAGCGAACAGG
rnacentral:rRNA from 1 species